AUUCCUUACUUAUAAACUCAUGAUCAUUCCUACAUUGGUGGGAUUACUUCCCAACAAUCCUCAACCCUUCCUCGACCCUUCCUACCCAAGAAGGGGGAGGAACACCAAAGGAAGAAUGAUAUUAUGUUUGUAGCACCCACGGGCGAGGAGAUCAAUAAUAGAAAACAGCUUGAGCAGUACUUGAAAUCACAUUCCGAAGACGUUGCGGUAUCGGAUUUUGAUUGGAGUACUGGUGAAAUACCCAGGAGAUCUGGUAGGAUUAGUGAGAAGGCAAAGCAACUCCACCACAGGAAGAGCCUCCAAGGAACACAAUGAAGCAGAGAAAGGUAUUGAUUCAUGCUGUAUGAAACAGGAAAAGGCAGACGUUUGUAAUAUUGAGGAAAAUGGGGCUGCUGGACAAGAGAAUUGCAGUAGAAUUGAAAAAACACCAGCAUCCGAUGGAACGAUCACAGAAAAGGAAGACACACAAAGACAUAUCCAGUCUUAGAACAGAAGGAACAAUAACGAAAGUGAGGUUACUAUCUCCCCCUCCCCGACUCCCCCGGGCAUCAUCAGAACUUGCACAGCUAAAUUGUGAGAUCCCACAUCUGUUGGAGACGGGAACGAAAAAUUUCUUAUAAGGGUGCGGAAACCCCUCUCUAGAUGCGUUUUAAAACCGUGAGGCUAACGAUGAUAUGUAAUGAGUCUAAGCGGACAAUAUCUACUGGUGGGUCCCAAUCAGCUUUGUAAUAUGAACGUUUCGAGUAGUAUGAUGUAGAUACGAACACAAUCCUAGUUACAUCGUUCCACGAGUUCGAGUUGAAGAAGACUUUCUGGACAAGACCAAGGACAACAUCUUUAUUAGUAUUAGUAUGUGAAAGCAUUGUUUGAGCUUGAUUUGUUUUAAGAAUAUUGUGUUUCCAUGAAUGUAAGGAGAUUUUUCACCAACUCUUAGCUUCCACGAAAUGGGAAAAAUCUUCACCAACUCUUAGCUUCCACGAAAUGGGAAAAACCUAAAAGAAAGAAAGAGGAGACUUAGGGAAGUCAAGGGAAAAUACAGCAUUUAAUUUAGUCACGAUCUAAUGAUA